GACGAACGCUGGCGGCGUGCUUAACACAUGCAAGUCGAACGGAAAGGCCCUGCUUUUGUGGGGCGCUCGAGUCGCGAGCGGGUGUGUCACACGUGGGUCUCCUGUCCUUGACUUUGGUAACACGUCAGGAAACUUGGCAUAAUCCCGGAUAGGCGUUCCUCCUCCAUGGUGGGGGAUGGAAAGAUACGGCGGCUGGGGGUGGACUCGCGGCUUAUCAGGUUGGUGGUGGGGUAGUGGCCUACCAAGGAUAUGACGGGUCGGCGGCCUGAGAGGGUGACCGGCGACAUUGGGACUGAGAUACGCCGCAGUCUCCUACGGGAGGCAGAAGUGGGGAAUAUAGUGCAAUGGGCGGAAGCCUGUGGCAGAGACGCCGCGUGCGGGAUAACGGCCUUCGGGGUGUAAACCGCUCUCGCCUGUGACGAAGCGUGAGUGACGGUAAUGGGUAAAGAAGCAACGGCUAACUACGUG
rnacentral:rRNA from 1 species